rnacentral:lncRNA from 1 species
AUGGACACACAAGUUGGAGGAGUUUCCUGCCCUGAGGGCUUGUACCAGGCCUACUGUAAAACAGCCAACCGCCAUCAAAAAAAAAAACAAAAAAAAAAAACUUGAGUUUGAGUUUGCAAUAAGGGCGAGGCUUAUUUUGUUCGGUUCCUGCCUUUGACUCGGCUCUCUGAGUCCCCGUAGCGAUCAGUCAGAGCGCUGCAACUGUCAUUUUUGUUAGUGUGUCUGCGUUUCAGUGUUUGUUUUCGGCUCCAUGUUGAAGUUUUUCUUUUUCUUUUUUGCGUCCAGGGCAUAGAGUCUUGUAGCCGCAUACACUGUUAGCCCACACUACAAGCAGAUACAGUACACAGGCAGACACACGCAGCGCCCUCGCCUGAUUUGCACCAGCUCGGGUCAUUUCAGGUUAAACACUGGCGCUGGGUCCCGUUCAGUUUAGCCGACGGAGAUCAACACUGAUUCCGGUUGAGGAGGAAUGCGCAAACACCGGGACUCCAAAUAAUAUUUGCAUAGGAGCUUCGACUUGCAUAUGCGGCCAGAUGGAUGUCCCACCUCUUUGAUUAGAUGUCAAUUUUACACAAGUCUCAACUGCUAGAGCAUUGGCAUCAUGCAUCUGCUCAGUAGCAGAUUUGAAGAAGUUGCUAAUCUUUCACAAAGUGAUAACACAGAGCGGCAUCUCAUUUUAAUUUAUUACUCGAUUACACAUCUGUUGUCAGCUCUACAAGAGGUCAAUAUAUAUUAAAGGCACCACAGACUCAUCAGGUUCACCAUGUUUGAGAUUUGCUUCCAUGACAGCUCCACUGUGACAUACAUAUCUCCACAGCUACUCUACAAAAUAUUAUAGAAAACCACCAACUAUGAUUGUACAUAAAUGCUGUAUCUACACUCCUCUACUGUAAUUUCAAUGUAGGCCACAUAUGGCAAGUGUGCAGUGUGCAAAUGUAUUAUGCAGAGCAUCGACCGGUCACAUUAUUUUCUUAUGGAGUCCCACAAAUAUGUGAACUGACAUAAAAUUCUUACAAUGUGUGGCUUACAAUGACUUACAAUAAUGGAGCAAGACUGUUCUGUGUUCAUUCGGUGUAAGAUUUCAAAUGUCAUAUUGAUUGUGUAAUCAAAUCUAAUACAGCUUUCCAUUUUAAUAGACUUUUUUUUUUUUGGUAGAUGUAUUAACAUAGUAGGAGAAGUACAAAAGGAGUAGAUAAAGACAAAGAAAUGCAAGGUGUGUUACUAGGAUCAUUUCAUUUGGUGCAGGUUGUAGUUUGACAGAGUAUGUAGGGUUUGUCAAAAGAGUUCAGUUAUUUUCAUCUUUUUUCAUCAAGUGAAAAAUGAAUAUAUCUCUGUGU